AAUGGGUCAGCGACUUAUAUUCUGUAGCAAGGUUAACCGUAUAGGGGAGCCGAAGGGAAACCGAGUCUUAACUGGGCGUUAAGUUGCAGGGUAUAGACCCGAAACCCGGUGAUCUAGCCAUGGGCAGGUUGAAGGUUGGGUAACACUAACUGGAGGACCGAACCGACUAAUGUUGAAAAAUUAGCGGAUGACUUGUGGCUGGGGGUGAAAGGCCAAUCAAACCGGGAGAUAGCUGGUUCUCCCCGAAAGCUAUUUAGGUAGCGCCUCGUGAAUUCAUCUUCGGGGGUAGAGCACUGUUUCGGCUAGGGGGUCAUCCCGACUUACCAACCCGAUGCAAACUGCGAAUACCGAAGAAUGUUAUCACGGGAGACACACGGCGGGUGCUAACGUCCGUCGUGAAGAGGGAAACAACCCAGACCGCCAGCUAAGGUCCCAAAGUCAUGGUUAAGUGGGAAACGAUGUGGGAAGGCACAGACAGCCAGGAUGUUGGCUUAGAAGCAGCCAUCAUUUAAAGAAAGCGUAAUAGCUCACUGGUCGAGUCGGCCUGCGCGGAAGAUGUAACGGGGCUAAACCAUGCACCGAAGCUGCGGCAGCGACACUAUGUGUUGUUGGGUAGGGGAGCGUUCUGUAAGCCGUUGAAGGUGUACUGUGAGGUAUGCUGGAGGUAUCAGAAGUGCGAAUGCUGACAUAAGUAACGAUAAUGCGGGUGAAAAACCCGCACGCCGGAAGACCAAGGGUUCCUGUCCAACGUUAAUCGGGGCAGGGUGAGUCGACCCCUAAGGCGAGGCCGAAAGGCGUAGUCGAUGGGAAACAGGUUAAUAUUCCUGUACUUGGUGUUACUGCGAAGGGGGGACGGAGAAGGCUAUGUUAGCCGGGCGACGGUUG
rnacentral:rRNA from 1 species